rnacentral:rRNA from 1 species
CUUUGUACACACCGCCCGUCGCUACUACCGAUUGAAUGGCUCAGUGAGGCUUCCGGACUGGCCCAGGGAGGUCGGCAACGACCACCCAGGGCCGGAAAGCUAUCCAAACUCGGUCAUUUAGAGGAAGUAAAAGUCGUAACAAGGUCUCCGUUGGUGAACCAGCGGAGGGAUCAUU